CUACGGGUGGCAGCAGUGGGGAAUAUUGGACAAUGGGCGCAAGCCUGAUCCAGCAAUGCCGCGUGAGUGAAGACGGCCUUAGGGUUGUAAAACUCUUUCGCUAGGGAAGAUAAUGACUGUACCUAGUAAAGAAGUCCCGGCUAACUCCGUGCCAGCAGCCGCGGUAAUACGGAGGGGACUAGCGUUGUUCGGAAUUACUGGGCGUAAAGAGUUCGUAGGCGGACUGACAAGUUAGAGGUGAAAUCCCAGGGCUCAACCCUGGAACUGCCUUUAAAACUGUCAGUCUAGAGACCGGAAGAGGUUAGGGGAAUACCUAGUGUAGAGGUGAAAUUCGUAGAUAUUAGGUGGAACACCAGUGGCGAAGGCGCCUAACUGGUCCGGUACUGACGCUGAGGAACGAAAGCGUGGGGAGCAAACAGGAUUAGAUACCCGCGUAGUC
rnacentral:rRNA from 1 species